rnacentral:rRNA from 1 species
ACGAACGUUGGCGGCGUGUCUAAGGCAUGCAAGUCGAGCGGAUCGCCGGUCGUAGCAAUACGGUCGGCGGUCAGCGGCAAACGGGUGCGUAACACAUUGGUAAUCUGCCUCGAAGUCGGGCACAACUCGCCGAAAGGUGAGCUAAUUCCACGAUGGAGAUGAGGGGACGGAAGUCAUUCUCAUCUAAAGUCGCCAGACGCUUCGAGAGGAACCUAUGGCCUAUCAGCUUGUUGGCGGGGUAACGGCCCACCAAGGCUAUGACGGGUAUGGGGUGUGAGAGCAUGACCCCACUCACUGGGACUGAGACACUGCCCAGACACCUACGGGUGGCUGCAGUCGAGAAUAUUCCCCAAUGGCCGAAAGGCUGAGGGAGCGACGCCGCGUGCGGGACGAAGGGCUUCGGCUCGUAAACCGCUUUUCCCAGGGAAGAACACUGACGGUACCUGGGGAAUAAGAGGUUGCUAACUCUGU